UGUCAAGUCGAGUAGCUAAGUACACUGGACGCCAUGUGUUAUUUGCGACGGCGGCGCUGAUACAUGCUGCUGUCUUUACUACACUUUACCUCUGGACGCCAAACGAGACGGAUACAAAAUAUAUAAUCAUGUUGCCUGUUGGCUGGGCAAUAGCUGAUAGUAUUUUCCUGCCACAGAUAAUAUCAUUGGUUGCUCUGUACUUCCCAGAAAAGAAGGAACCGGCAUUUGCUAACGUCCACACUUGGAUAUCCCUUGGUUCGACGUUAACGUUCGCUCUGAGCAGCAUCUUAUGUGUAUAUGUCAAACUGUACACCAUGUUUGCCCUGUUGGUGACCGGUAUUGGGAUGUAUAUAGUGGCAGAGAUACUUUACAAAAUGGAAACAAAGAAAUACAUGAGAAUAAACGAAUAAAAUGGAUGAAUAGUAUACUCAUAUUAACAGGGAAAAUUCAUGGAUGUUAUCUUCUUUGAUAUCUUCAUCACUUGUUGAAUGAGUAAGAAAGAAUACACUUGUAAUCGUUGUUUUCCUCAAAAUACAUUUUUGCCAACCACAAAUCACCCGAUGGAGGAGUAACAAUAUACUCUGAAAUGAUGUGUUCCUUAUAGUACAGAGGUUGACAUCCAUGCAUCUUCCCUUUCAUGUGAAUCACUUCCAAAUUCCAUUCGA